rnacentral:rRNA from 1 species
GACGAACGCUGGCGGCGUGCUUAACACAUGCAAGUCGAACGGAAAGGCCCCUUUGGGGGUACUCGAGUGGCGAACGGGUGAGUAACACGUGCGUAACCUGCCCUUCACUUCGGGAUAACUUCAUGAAACUGGGGCUAAUACCGGUUAGGAAUCCUUUCUGCAUGCUGGGGGUUGGAUAGCUUCGGCGGUUUUGGCUGGACUCGCUGCCUAUCAGCUUGUUGGUGGGGUAGUGGGUUACCAAGGCUUUGACGGGUAGCCGGCCUGGGGGGGCGACCGGCCACAGUGGGACUGAGAUACGGCCGAGGCAGCUACGGGAGGGAGCAGGGGGGAAGAUUGAACAAGGGGCGGAAGGCUGGUGCAGCAAGGCCGCGGGCGGGAAGACGGCCUUCGGGUUGGAAAACGCAUUCAGCAGGGGCGAAGCUUGUGGUGACGGUACCUGCAGAAGAAGCACCGGCUAACUACGUG